UAGGGAAUAUUGGUAAUGUGCGAAAGCGCGAACCAGCAACGCCGCGUGCACGAUGAAGGCCUUCGGGUCGUAAAGUGCUUUUAGAGAGGAUGAGGAAGGACAGUACUUUCUGAAUAAGCCUCGGCUAACUACGUGCCAGCAGCCGCGGUAAAACGUAGGAGGCUAGCGUUAUCCGGAUUUACUGGGCGUAAAGCGCAUGCAGGUGGUUUUGUAAGUUGGAUGUGAAAGCUCCUGGCUUAACUGGGAUAGGUCGUUCAAAACUACAAGACUUGAGAUUUGUAGAGGAAAAUGGAAUUCCGGGUGUAGUGGUGAAAUGCGUAGAUAUCCGGAGGAACACCAGUGGCGAAAGCGGUUUUCUGGACCAAUUCUGACACUCAGAUGCGAAAGCUAAGGUAGCAAACG
rnacentral:rRNA from 1 species